rnacentral:rRNA from 1 species
UACGUAGGUGGCAAGCGUUGUCCGGAAUCAUUGGGCGUAAAGCGCGUGUAGGCGGCUCGGUAAGUCCGCUCUGAAAGCCCGGGGCUCAACCCCGGGAGGCGGGUGGAUACUGUCGAGCUCGAGUCCGGAAGAGGAGUGUGGAAUUCCUGGUGUAGCGGUGAAAUGCGCAGAUAUCAGGAGGAACACCAAUGGCGAAGGCAGCACUCUGGGACGUGACUGACGCUGAGACGCGAAAGCGUGGGGAGCAAACAGG